rnacentral:rRNA from 1 species
AUCUAGCUUGCUAGAUGCUGACGAGCGGCGGACGGGUGAGUAAUGCAUAGGAAUCUGCCCUGUAGUGGGGGAUAACCUGGGGAAACCCAGGCUAAUACCGCAUACGUCCUACGGGAGAAAGGGGGCUUCGGCUCCCGCUACGGGAUGAGCCUAUGUCGGAUUAGCUAGUUGGUGAGGUAACGGCUCACCAAGGCGACGAUCCGUAGCUGGUCUGAGAGGAUGAUCAGCCACAUCGGGACUGAGACACGGCCCGAACUCCUACGGGAGGCAGCAGUGGGGAAUAUUGGACAAUGGGGGGAACCCUGAUCCAGCCAUGCCGCGUGUGUGAAGAAGGCCUUCGGGUUGUAAAGCACUUUCAGCGAGGAAGAACGCCUAGUGGUUAAUACCCAUUAGGAAAGACAUCACUCGCAGAAGAAGCACCGGCUAACUCCGUGCCAGCAGCCGCGGUAAUACGGAGGGUGCAAGCGUUAAUCGGAAUUACUGGGCGUAAAGCGCGCGUAGGUGGCUUGAUAAGCCGGUUGUGAAAGCCCCGGGCUCAACCUGGGAACGGCAUCCGGAACUGUCAGGCUAGAGUGCAGGAGAGGAAGGUAGAAUUCCCGGUGUAGCGGUGAAAUGCGUAGAGAUCGGGAGGAAUACCAGUGGCGAAGGCGGCCUUCUGGACUGACACUGACACUGAGGUGCGAAAGCGUGGGGUAGCAAACAGGAUUAGAUACCCUGGUAGUCCACGCCGUAAACGAUGUCNACCANCCGUUGGGUGCCUANAGCACUUUGUGGCGAAGUUAACGCGAUAAGUCNACCGCC